ensembl:snRNA U1 U1 spliceosomal RNA
AUACUUACCUGGCAGGGCAGAUACCAUGAUCACAAUGGUGGUUUUCCCAGGGUGAGGCUUAUCCAUUGCACUCAGGAUGUGCUGACCCCUGUGAUUUUCCUAAAUGUGGGAAACUUGACUGAAUAAUUUGUGGUAGUGGGGGACUGCAUUGGUGCUCUCCCCUU